rnacentral:rRNA from 1 species
ACUCCUACGGGAGGCAGCAGUGAGGAAUAUUGGUCAAUGGAGGGAACUCUGAACCAGCCAUCCCGCGUGUAGGAAGACGGCCUUAUGGGUUGUAAACUACUUUUAUACAGGAAGAAACGUACCCUCGUGAGGGUGCCUGACGGUACUGUAGGAAUAAGCACCGGCUAACUCCGUGCCAGCAGCCGCGGUAAUACGGAGGGUGCGAGCGUUAUCCGGAUUUAUUGGGUUUAAAGGGUCCGUAGGCGGAUUAAUAAGUCAGUGGUGAAAUCCCAUCGCUUAACGAUGGAACUGCCAUUGAUACUGUUAGUCUUGAAUGAGGGUGCAGUGGUUGGAAUGUGUAGUGUAGCGGUGAAAUGCAUAGAUAUUACACAGAACACCGAUUGCGAAGGCAGAUCACUAACCCUAAAUUGACGCUGAGGGACGAAAGCGUGGGGAGCGAACAGGAUUAGAUACCCUGGUAGGCUCUGC